GUUGUGCCAGGCAGGAGAACACUAAGAUAGAGGCAGUUUAACCACCAUCUAGAAGCUUAUUUUGAAUGUAGUAAAACCCCCACCCCUGCUGUUCACUGCCGUUUGGGAGGAGGACUUCCGGAAGUCAUUUUCUGGUAGGCAGUGGGAUAAUAUGUUUCUGUUGGCCCAUAAAUCCUCAUUAGAUGCCAAGGCCCAAGAAAUGAACAACAAAUUGGUUACUAG